rnacentral:rRNA from 1 species
GUGCCAGCCGCCGCGGUAAGACAGAGGGUGCAAACGUUGUUCGGAAUUACUGGGCGUAAAGCGCGUGUAGGCGGCUAUGCAAGUCGGGCGUGAAAUCCCACGGCUCAACCGUGGAAGUGCACUCGAAACUGCGUAGCUAGAGUCUCGGAGAGGAAGGUGGAAUACUUGGUGUAGAGGUGAAAUUCGUAGAUAUCAAGUGGAACACCGGUGGCGAAGGCGGCCUUCUGGACGAUGACUGACGCUGAGACGCGAAAGCGUGGGGAGCAAACAGGAUUAGAAACCCUCGUAGUCC